GACGAACGCUGGCGGCGUGCUUCACACAUGCAAGUCGAACGGGAUGAUCUUAAAGCUUGCUUUUAGAGAAUCUAGUGGCAAACGGGUGAGUAACACGUAGACAACCUGCCGACAGGAUGGGGACAACAUUCCGAAAGGAAUGCUAAUACCGAAUGAAGCGGAGGAGAGGCAUCUCUCUUCCGUGAAAGAUGGCCUCUGAACAUGCUAUCACCUGUCGAUGGGUCUGCGUCUGAUUAGCUGGUUGGUGAGGUAACGGCUCACCAAGGCGACGAUCAGUAGCCGGUCUGAGAGGAUGAACGGCCACAUUGGGACUGAGACACGGCCCAGACUCCUACGGGAGGCAGCAGUGGGGAAUCUUCCGCAAUGGGCGCAAGCCUGACGGAGCAACGCCGCGUGAGUGAAGAAGGUCUUCGGAUCGUAAAGCUCUGUUGACGGGGACGAACGUGCGAGAGGUGAAUAAACUCUUGCAAUGACGGUACCUGUCGAGGAAGCCACGGCUAACUACGUGCCAGCAGCCGCGGUAAUACGUAGGUGGCGAGCGUUGUCCGGAAUCAUUGGGCGUAAAGGGAGCGCAGGCGGGCAUGUAAGUCUUUCUUAAAAGUGCGGGGCUCAACCCCGUGAUGGGAAAGAAACUAUAUGUCUUGAGUACAGGAGAGGAAAGCGGAAUUCCCAGUGUAGCGGUGAAAUGCGUAGAUAUUGGGAGGAACACCAGUGGCGAAGGCGGCUUUCUGGACUGCAACUGACGCUGAGGCUCGAAAGCCAGGGGAGCGAACGGGAUUAGAUACCCCGGUAGUCCUGGCCGUAAACGAUGGAUACUAGGUGUGGGAGGUAUCGACCCCUACCGUGCCGGAGUUAACGCAAUAAGUAUCCCGCCUGGGGAGUACGGUCGCAAGACUGAAACUCAAAGGAAUGACGGGGACCCGCACAAGCUGUGGAGUAUGUGGUGUGAUGGAAGCAACGCGAAGAACAUACCACGCUUGACAUUGACUGUAAGAGCUAGAGAUAGUUUUCCUCUCUACUGAGACAUGGAAACAAGGUGGCUGCAUGGGCUGUCGAUCAGCCUCGUUGUUCGUUGAGAAUGUUCGGGGGUUAGGGUGCCGCAAUCGAGCCGCCACCCCCCGUUACAUUGUUUGC
rnacentral:rRNA from 1 species